GGACGAACCGUCCAAACGUUAUUCGGAAUCACUGGGCUUACAGAGUUCGUAGGCGGUCUGGAAAGUUGGGUGUGAAAUCCCUCGGCUCAACCGAGGAACUGCGCUUGAAACUACCAGACUCGAGGGAGAUAGAGGAAAGCGGAACUGAUGGUGGAGCGGUGAAAUGCGUUGAUAUCAUCAGGAACACCGGUGGCGAAGGCGGCUUUCUGGGUCUUACCUGACGCUGAGGAACGAAAGCUAGGGGAGCGAACGGG
rnacentral:rRNA from 1 species